AGAAAUUUUUUUUUCUAGGUGUACAACUGUGCAAGUAUUGUACAUCGCAGCUUGAAAUGCAAUGUGACCUAAAAGACAACAUAAUAAUGGACAGAUGUUCUCUGGUCGUUCGUACUUGUUGGCCACACACAUGAAGAUAUUGAUCCUGCUUUCAGCUAAUAUCAGAAAAAUUAAGAACAAAGGAUGCUGAAACUGUGCAGUCACUGUUCAGGAUUAUUCAAGAUGUUUCAAAAGUGAAAUUAUAAUACAAUAUAUGUUACUGGUUAAUUACUAUGAUUAGUAAUUUUAAACAACACACAGAGACUUUGCAUUAUUGUUUUACAAGAGAGACACCAAAAGAUGCAGUCAACAUUUAUCAUUUUUAUCAAAUACACCCAGGACAAACCAUGGGUACACUUAGCUUGAAAUAUGGUGCUUUCUUACAAAAAUUGCCUGGACGUAAAAGAAAUGAAGAACCUAAAUUCAUGACAACAAUCAGGAGAUACCAGAAGAAUUAGUAUAAAUGGUUAAAGAUGAAAGAAUGCAGAAUAAGGCAGGAUUGAAAGGAAGAAAGAACUAGUCAUCAGUAAAGAAACAGAUCAAUUUAUAUAACAUGUAAUAAAUCCAUCUGAAUAUAUAUAUAUAACAAACAUUGCACAUGUUAUGAAGAUUUAUUCACAUGUCUACUCUGAUUUGUAGUUAUGUAUUUGUAAUAUUAUAUAGUACAUGUAUUUUAUUUUAGAACAGUAUUUUUUUUUG